GCAAUAAACGAGACUUGAUCAGAAACCUGUCUUGUCUCCAUCUCUCGUGUCCCCUGUCCUUUGUCAUUCUCACUCCCCCUCUAGGGUCUCCGUUGACUUACCCGCGGGAUGGGACACCAUGCUCUGAAGAAGUCCACUGGAAAUGGAGUCUGGUAGUGGGGAGAGGACAUCACAGAUGCAAAUAGAGGAGGGCAACCUGAAGGAGAAGCAUACCAGUUUCACUAUUCAAAUUGGCUGGACAGGAUAUACAUGGUGCUGGGAACUCUGGCUGGUGUUAUCCAUGGAGCUAUGCUCCCUCUCAUGUUGCUGGUGUUUGGAGACAUGAUGGACAGCUUUGCAAGUGUGGGAAAAUAUAGUCAAAGUAAGUAUUGUUUGUGGUGCUUUUAUUAGAAGCAUGCAGGAAAACAGGAUGAUAUCACUGAAUGGGCACUAUUGUGUUUAGUGAUCUGGGAGGUAGAGGGUCUGAGUGUAGCUUAUGCUUGUCAGGAAUUCGAAAAGAUAGUACUCACAAGCAUUAGAAUGGCCAGUGGAAAUGCUGACAGAGAUGAGUAGAAGAGCAGAGAAUUCUGUGAUGUCUGAAGCACCAUAAAAAAACUUCAGGAGGAGAUAAAAAUCAAUCAGGACUUUGUGAGAAACUGAGAUCAGUUACAAGAUUCCCUGACAGGCUGGAUAUGAGUAGAAGAGAGGGAUCCAGGGUGAUUCUACAUUUUUAGCCUGAGAAGCUGGAUAGGUUGCUAUUACUGUCAACUGAGAUGAGAAAGAUGGAGGGAA
rnacentral:lncRNA from 1 species